rnacentral:lncRNA from 1 species
UUAUUCCUCUUUAAUUUUUGAAACAUGCUUAUUAUAUUUUAGGGCCAGAAACCCUUUAAUGGCCGGAUAAGCCAUAGUUACAUUUAGAGAACCAUUUAGAAGUGAUAGAAAAUUGAAAUUUCAAUGACUUUUGGGCCACUAUUAGUGAUAUAAAUGUCAUUAUUUCUGACUUUUAAACAAAGCCUCCAAAUUCAUAACCAACUUGCAGGACUAUACUUAAAAAUUACAGGUUUAAGAGUUUUUUGUUUUGUUUCUUAAUAUAGGAAAACUACUUCCUAUUUGGGUAGGAAGUCAAUCUGUGUAACAAUUAGAGGUAGCAUUUCAUACGAUCUGAAGUUCUAAAUGGUUCUCUGAUUUGAGGGAAGUUGAAUUGAUUUCCUCUAGAUAUUGGCCAUAAUAUGUAUACAAAUGUAUAUUAAGGAGGAAUUACAAAAUUCUUUAAUUUCAAUGCUAGUAGAAACUGGCCAGCAAAAAAGGUGCAUUUUUUUUUUUUAAUUAUGGAUCACUUGGGAAUUACUGACUUGAAGUAUCAAAGGAUAUUUGCAUGUGAAUGUGGGUUAUGUUCUUUCUCACCUUGUAGCAUAUUCAAUGAAAGUUGAGUUGACUGGUAGCUAAAAAUCUGUUUUAACAGCAUGUAAAAAGUUACUUUAUCUGUUACAACUCAUUAUACAAUUUUGAAUGUUAUGUAGUUUCUUUAUA